UGAAUCUUGUUCGCCGGGACAGCUAAAUGGGGGCGACCGAGGCGUGCUUUUCUGUGGGUGCAGCUUUCGACGGCCCCUUUGCCUAGCCUGGCUGCACUUGCCUUUCUCCCCUUGGGACUAGGGCUUCUGAGGUAGGAAUGGGCGGAUAAAGGAGAUUUUCCUCUUGCGGCUGGGAUUUGGUCCCUUUGCAAGGUUCUGCUGAAAGGACCUAGAAAGACAAGUAAUACACGUUGGCCCGACGAUUGUAGGUAGGGCUGGCUAAUGGUCAGUGAUGGAUCUUGAGCUCUCCAUAGUCGCUUGGAAGAGACUCAGAGAAACUGGACACCGGGGUCCUCCGUCCUUACCACACAUCAGCGGUGGUUCCUUUAAUAUUAUUUGCAUAUGCAUUUUUUAAAAAGCAGUCACUCCCAUGGGCCAGACACCCUCUAGUGUGGUGAUAUUAGAGGGAGACGGAGGGAUUGACAAUACACCCUGUGUGUG
rnacentral:lncRNA from 1 species